UAAGGGGGCAGCUUACACAUGCAAGUCGAGCGAGACCUUCGGGUCUAGCGGCGGACGGGUGAGUAACGCGUGGGAACGUGCCCUUUGCUACGGAAUAGUCCCGGGAAACUGGGUUUAAUACCGUAUGUGCCCUUCGGGGGAAAGAUUUAUCGGCAAAGGAUCGGCCCGCGUUGGAUUAGGUAGUUGGUGGGGUAAUGGCCUACCAAGCCGACGAUCCAUAGCUGGUUUGAGAGGAUGAUCAGCCACACUGGGACUGAGACACGGCCCAGACUCCUACGGGAGGCAGCAGUGGGGAAUCUUAGACAAUGGGGGCAACCCUGAUCUAGCCAUGCCGCGUGAGUGAUGAAGGCCUUAGGGUUGUAAAGCUCUUUCAGCUGGGAAGAUAAUGACGGUACCAGCAGAAGAAGCCCCGGCUAACUCCGUGCCAGCAGCCGCGGUAAUACGGAGGGGGCUAGCGUUGUUCGGAAUUACUGGGCGUAAAGCGCACGUAGGCGGACUGGAAAGUUGGGGGUGAAAUCCCGGGGCUCAACCUCGGAACUGCCUUCAAAACUAUCAGUCUGGAGUUCGAGAGAGGUGAGUGGAAUACCGAGUGUAGAGGUGAAAUUCGUAG
rnacentral:rRNA from 1 species